GUUUGUUGAUUUAAAAGGAGGGAGUUAUGGAGAGCCUUUUGGGGUGCCACUUGGCAGGAAUCUGACAUUGGCCAUGACAAGGAAAUGAGCUCCAGGCAGGAAUCUGACAUUGGCCAUGACUGGGAUGUAAGCUCAGACAGGAAUCUGACAUCAGGGCAUGAUAAGGAAGACAGCUGUGGAGCUCAAGCGGCACCCAGUGUGACAGUGAAGCCACCACUGACCCGGAGAACCAAUGUCACAUGGACGGCCAACACUGCCUGUAGCCACUGCUAUACUGCGUGGACUCCAUCCGCUGACACCUGCCAUCAUUCACCACGUGGAUUGUCAGUGCUGCUGCAGGCCAUGGCUGCUGCGGCCACGACUGCUAUGAGACUCACAGACUUCUACCACGAUUACCAGCCACUGUCCACAGAAGACCAGCUGUCCACAGAGGAACCUGAUGCUAAUGUUUACCAAGUGGAUCCUGAUGGUGAAAGUCAGCUACACCCCAAAACUGACGACGCCCCAAGACAGCAGGAGGCAGCUUAAGAGACAGGAUGCCCUCAUUCUCUUUUCACCAUCAGCUUCCCCCUCCCUUUCCCCCCACUUCUCUUUAUAAUAACAAGAAGGGAGUUAUGUUGGUAUCAGGACCUCCAAAACCCGUGACAUCACAUGGGUGGGACCUGCAGUCCUGUUGCCAAGGUAACAAUCACCAUAUUCCAGAAUCUACUUGGCUUACCUCCCACCUUUACCUGUGAUAUGUCAUCACCCAUAUAUAACCCCUCCCAUCUCUCUCUUUCUCUUCCCCCCUUCUCUUUCUGCCACCACGUUGCCCCUCUCUCUCCUAAUAAACCUCUGACAGGUGGAACUGCUUUGGCCUGGUGUGCUAUAUUUAGACACAAGCCGCUGUUCUAACACAUCAACAAUGGGUCAGCAACAAGUUUCCAGCCCCACGCCCCAGUAAUGGUUCUGGAAUGUCCCUAGAGAUAGAGGAAGAUAAAGGUCACCCGCCCUGGAAUUCCCUUCAUGUGCUCUAAAUCUGGCCUGCAAGCUCACUUGGUUGUCUCUCUAUCUUGGUAAUGGGGGACCCCAGCAUGCUGGACUUCUACAGAAUAAAACAUACUUUAUCU
rnacentral:lncRNA from 7 species